UCCCAGACUCCUACGGGAGGCAGCAGUGGGGAAUAUUGCACAAUGGGGGAAACCCUGAUGCAGCAACGCCGCGUGGGUGAAGGAGCGUUUCGGCGCGUAAAGCCCUGUCAGCGGGGAAGAAGAAAGACGGUACCCGACCAAGAAGCCCCGGCUAACUACGUGCCAGCAGCCGCGGUAAUACGUAGGGGGCAAGCGUUAUCCGGAUUUACUGGGUGUAAAGGGCGUGCAGCCGGAGAGACAAGUCAGAUGUGAAAUCCGCAGGCUCAACCUGCGAACUGCAUUUGAAACUGUUUCCCUUGAGUAUCGGAGAGGUCAUCGGAAUUCCUAGUGUAGCGGUGAAAUGCGUAGAUAUUAGGAAGAACACCAGUGGCGAAGGCGGAUGACUGGACGACAACUGACGGUGAGGCGCGAAAGCGUGGGGAGCAAACAGGAUUAGAUACCCCGGUA
rnacentral:rRNA from 1 species